rnacentral:rRNA from 1 species
GUGCCAGCCGCCGCGGUAAUUCCAGCUCCAAUAGCGUAUAUUAAAGUUGUUGUGGUUAAAAAGCUCGUAGUUGAACCUUGGGCCUGGCUGGCCGGUCCGCCUCACCGCGUGCACUGGUCCGGCCGGGCCUUUCCCUCUGUGGAACCCCAUACCCUUCACUGGGCGUGGCGGGGAAACAGGACAUUUACUUUGAAAAAAUUAGAGUGCUCCAGGCAGGCCUAUGCUCGAAUACAUUAGCAUGGAAUAAUAAAAUAGGACGCGCGGUUCUAUUUUGUUGGUUUAUAGGACCGCCGUAAUGAUUAAUAGGGGCAGUCGGGGGCAUCAGUAUUCAACUGUCAGAGGUGAAAUUCUUGGAUCAGUUGAAGACUAACUACUGCGAAAGCAUUUGCCAAGGAUGUUUUCAUUAAUCAGGAACGAAAGUUAGGGGAUCGAAGACGAUCAGAUACCGUCGUAGUCUUAACCAUAAACUAUGCCGACUAGGGAUCGGACGGUGUUAUUCAUGACCCGUUCGGCACCUUACGAGAAAUCAAAGUGCUUGGGCUCCAGGGGGAGUAUGGUCGCAAGGCUGAAACUUAAAGAAAUUGACGGAAGGGCACCACCAGGGGUGGAGCCUGCGGCUUAAUUUGACUCAACACGGGGAAACUCACCAGGUCCAGACACAAUAAGGAUUGACAGAUUGAGAGCUCUUUCUUGAUUUUGUGGGUGGUGGUGCAUGGCCGUUCUUAGUUGGUGGGGUGACUUGUCUGCUUAAUUGCGAUAACGAACGAGACCUUAACCUGCUAAAUAGCCCGCAUUGCUCCGGCAGUGCGCUGGCUUCUUAGAGGGACUUUC